CCUACGGGAGUCAGCAGUGAGGAAUAUUGGUCAAUGGACGAGAGUCUGAACCAGCCAAGUAGCGUGAAGGAUGACUGCCCUAUGGGUUGUAAACUUCUUUUAUAUGGGAAUAAAAUGUUCCACGUGUGGGAUUUUGUAUGUACCAUAUGAAUAAGGAUCGGCUAACUCCGUGCCAGCAGCCGCGGUAAUACGGAGGAUCCGAGCGUUAUCCGGAUUUAUUGGGUUUCAAUGGAGCGUAUGUGGAUUGUUAAGUCAGUUGUGAAAGUUUGCGGCUCAACCGUAAAAUUGCAGUUGAAACUGGCAGUCUUGAGUACAGUAGAGGUGGGCGGAAUUCGUGGUGUAGCGGUGAAAUGCUUAGAUAUCACGAAGAACUCCGAUUGCGAAGGCAGUUCACUGGACUGCAACUGACACUGAGGCUCGAAAGUGUGGGUAUCAAACAGGAUUAGAUACCCCUGUAGUC
rnacentral:rRNA from 1 species